AGAUGAUUGAAAAAUGAGCCAAAUUCAUGCCUGUGUAAUUCCAAGGAAGCUGUACUGGAGGGAGAGGGGAACAUUUCCCAGCCAGCUUUACCAGUGACCUAUCCACUGGAUGACACGGCUUUUCAUUGCUUUCGGAGCACCUCGUGAUAGAAAUCAGUAUAUGUGAAAGAAGAAUCAGAUGGGACAUUUGAAUCCAAGAGGAAAUAUUGAGCUGUUGUAAAUAGACAGCAAAUGAAGAGAUCCGCUGAAGAACCAUGCCUAUUUACAACAGUACAGACAGCAGCAAUUCUUUUCAGCCGGGGGACAACAUUUACAGUGUUUGCAUCUAUACUGCAUUUGUACUAGCUGCUUGGAACCACAUGCUGAAGUGCAGUUUCCUGACUCCAUCCAGUGGCAAAGAGAAGGAAAUGCAAAUGGGUUCUUCAGCAGCUUUUAGGAACUAAAGACACCCAACUUGAUUCCGUGUGCAGCUCACAUG